AUACACCCUGAAAGAAACUGCAGUUGUGGAGGUUCAACAUGUCCUCUGUCAAGAUACAGUGAUCUGAUUGCCAGAAGAGGAAACUGGUAUAGAUCCUGAGGGCAAGCAAUGUUUUUAUUAUUAACCGCUUUGGGAUUUAUCUUGGUUAUCUCAUGAGCUGAAAAAAAAGAAGUCCCUAUUCUUACAACAAGAAAAGCCUUGUUCAGGCUGUAAAGUAAUGGCUUUUCUAACCCAGAUGAAAACAGGUCAAAGGAUAAACGACCAUCCAAAAUUCUGAGGAGACAUAGGCACAUCCAGGGAGACAGAGGAGUCAAACAGUUGCUAACCUUGGACAGAGGCUGCUAGAUACCAAGAAAGCCCGCCAGAAUAUCGAAGAAACACUGAUAAUUCCUUGGAAGUUGAACAUUAGUAUGGGGCUACGGUAAUGGGCUUUCCACCCAUUUGAAUGCUUUUUUCUCUAGAAACACCAUGAGGCUUUUACAGGGGGGAUCUGAGAGAAUCCAGAGAAUGUUUCCCUUGUCUUACUAGUUGGGGAGGGAAAGACCAGACACCGUAAAGUCCAUCCAGAUCCCACUGCCAUGUGAAACAAAGGCUUAAUCAGCAGUGGGAAGGGCCAGAAGAAUGCAGACUAACAGUACUAGAGGAUAUUUUUUGCAGCUAGUAAAAGGAAGAUGGAGCAGGAGACACUGUGACAGGUAGCUUAAUGUUACUCCAUACAUUUCAUAUAAACUCACUUUCACUUAUUUAUGUCACGAGUGC
rnacentral:lncRNA from 1 species